CGGCUGUGCACAGAGCAGAGAGCGAGGAGGAGACAAUGUGCAGGGCGGCCAAGUGCGGCGAGACCUGCGCCAGCCUGCCUGAUCUCUCUUCCAGAAACUACAAGAAAAGGCUGAAAUGGGAGCAAAAUCAAGCCCAGGAAGUUGUUUCCCCCAGUGCCAACAAGUGACUGGAUUACCAAAGAACCAGGAAGGACAGCGAUAGCUUUUUGACAUCUAUUGCUUAUCAAUCAAGGCUGAGGACCAGGACAAGAGAGAAUAGCAACAACCUCUUUGAAACAUCCUGUACCAAGCCAUGGGGGACUGGAGAUAAGGAUUGUAUUGUAUUGUGAAGAGAAAGAUGACAACCAGGCCUGAGGGUGAGAAUGGAACAACAUCUUCUGAGACCUGGACCCAGAAGGCUGGUGUCAUGGUUGACAUGUUUACACCCCUGACAGACAUGAGAACUGACCACCCCCAAGACCAUCAAAAUCCAGAGAAAGUAGAAGAUUUUGAGGUCCAGGUCAGAUUAUCAGAGGGUAGGUCCAGAAGAUGCAUCUUCACCCUCUCCAAUGCUGCAGCGUUCUUCACAUCCAGCUCUGUACACCCCAUCUUUCCUUCACACUCUAGCAUCUUCAUUCUCCGGGAGAAACUGUGAUCUGGCUGAUCAUUGAUUUCCUUCCUUCCUUGGUGAUAAACUUCCCCCCUCCCCCCACUUUUCUUCCCAUCUCUCCUCUCUCCCUUGCUAGAUAGAGUCGCCGCUUAUAUUUAAAUUAGAAGCAUCAGCCUUUGCUUGCCAGCACCCAUUACCUACUGUAAUUCUUUGAACCUACUUCUUUAAGUAAAAUACAAAAGUCUGCUCUA